rnacentral:lncRNA from 1 species
CCAUCCCCAGUCUCCCAGUGUCAGCUCAGCAGUGAUUAACCUCUCAGACAGACCCUCCCUGGCAGCACAGUGGGACAACCGGCCUCGGCCUAUUCCAUUAGAAUGAAAAAAUUGCAAGAGUUUGUGUGCCUGAUUCAUUCAUGUUCCUCUGCUUUUCCCCGCCCCCUUUGUGCUAUAAAUUGCAGGACUUCAUUGAGGACUUGCAACGCAGCGGAGGGGAUGUGGCGGCGGCCGCACGGCCUUUGAUCGCACUACUAGAACCCCUGGCAGCCAAUCAGAUACAGGCUGAGGUUGCAGUGUUGUCAGGUGACAUCCUGCUCAUGGUCCAAGCAGUAUCCAGAGAGGAGGCCCGCCGGCAGGAGGAUUUGGAGCUCCACCAGAGAUUUUGUCGGGGUUUGGAAGCGGUCGAGCUGCAGACACAGGAACUGGCGAAUGGGCCAACCCCGGGAGCACGUCACCUGGAGUCUGCUCAGGUUAGCUUGACUUGGCAACGCAACACCAAUACCAACCCGCUUUUCACCAUGCCAUGAGGCAUACGUUCUUCUCUGCAGAAUAAAGGCUUAUUUUCUUGCACCCCUCGUUCACACACACACACAAAAAAACUCUGUGGUUUUCCCUUCUGCUCUGCACCGUAGAAGACCGUGCAGGAUCUCAGCGGCCUGUGCCUGCCCCUCAUGGAGCUGAGUGAGCUGAGUGGCCGUGGUCAGAGGGGCCGUGGCGAAGGGGAGCGACUGGGAGUGCUCUGGAGACAAUGGGCCGAGGGCCUGACUCACGCGGCUGACAUAUACCAGUGAGCACGGGUUACAUGGGCCGGUUUCUACUCUGGGCUCCUGACAAGGGAAAGUCAGCCCAGUCAUUUAUACAAAUGCCCCUACAUUUGCUGUCUUUUAACUUUUUUUGGUCUUCAAUUAAUGACUUCGAUAUAUAUGUAUUUUUCUGUCCACUCAGGACUUUUUUC